rnacentral:rRNA from 1 species
AACGAGACCUUAACCUUCUAAAUAGUCAGGCUGGCUUUUGCUGGUCGCAGACUUCUUAGAGGGACUGUCAGUGUCUAACUGACGGAAGUUUGAGGCAAUAACAGGUUUGUGAUGCCCUUAGAUGUUCUGGGCCGCACGCGCGCUACCCUGACAGAGCCAGCGAGUAUCUCCUAUGCCGGAAGGUCUGGGUAAUCUUGUGAAACUCU